rnacentral:rRNA from 1 species
UUGCCUUAGUAACGGCGAGUGAAGCGGCAACAGCUCAAAUUUGAAAUCUGGCUUCCUUUGGGAGUCCGAGUUGUAAUUUGCAGAGGGCGCUUUGGCGUCGGCAGCGGUCUAAGUUCCUUGGAACAGGACGUCACAGAGGGUGAGAAUCCCGUACGUGGUCGCCUGCCUUCGCCGUGUAAAGCCCCUUCGACGAGUCGAGUUGUUUGGGAAUGCAGCUCUAAAUGGGAGGUAAAUUUCUUCUAAAGCUAAAUACUGGCCAGAGACCGAUAGCGCACAAGUAGAGUGAUCGAAAGAUGAAAAGCACUUUGGAAAGAGAGUCAAACAGCACGUGAAAUUGUUGAAAGGGAAGCGCUUGCCGCCAGACUUGCCCGUGGUGGUUCUCCUCCUCGGGCAGGCCAGCAUCAGUUUGGGCGAUCGGAUAAUGGCCUCUGUCAUGUAUCUUCCUUCGGGAUGACCUUAUAGGGGAGUCGUAGUACGGUCAGCCCGGACUGAGGUCCGCGCAUUUGCUAGGAUGCUGGCGUAAUGGCUGCAAGCGGCCCGUCUUGAAACACGGACCAAGGAGUCUAACAUCUAUGCGAGUGUUUGGGUGUCAAGCCCGAGCGCGCAAUGAAAGUGAACGGAGGUGGGAACCCUCUCUGGGGGUGCACCAUCGACCGAUCCUGAAGUCUUCGGAUGGAUUUGAGUAAGAGCAUGGCUGUUGGGACCCGAAAGAUGGUGAACUAUGCUUGAAUAGGGUGAAGCCAGAGGAAACUCUGGUGGAGGCUCGCAGCGGUUCUGACGUGCAAAUCGAUCGUCAAAUUUGGGCAUAGGGGCGAAAGACUAAUCGAACUAUCUAGUAGCUGGGUUCCUGCCGAAGUUU